AGCGUGGAGACAGGUGGUGCAUGGCUGUCGUCAGCUCGUGUCGUGAGAUGUUGGGUUAAGUCCCGCAACGAGCGCAACCCUCACCUCUUGUUGCCAUCAGGUCAUGCUGGGCACUCUAGGGGAACUGCCCCGGUCAACGGGGAGGAAGGCGGGGAUGACGUCAAGUCAUCAUGCCCCUUACGUCCUGGGCUACACACGUGCUACAAUGGCCGGUACAAAGGGAUGCCACACCGUGAGGUAGAGCUAAACCCAAAAAGCCGGUCUAAGUUCAGAUUGGAGUCUGCAACUCGACUCCAUGAAGGAGGAAUCGCUAGUAAUCGCGUAUCAGCACGACGCGGUGAAUACGUUCCCGGGCCUUGUACACACCGCCCGUCACACCACGAAAGCCUGCUGUACUCGAAGUCGCUGAG
rnacentral:rRNA from 1 species